AUUGAACGCUGGCGGCAGGCUUAACACAUGCAAGUCGAGCGGGGUGAUGGUGCUUGCACUAUCACUUAGCGGCGGACGGGUGAGUAAUGCUUAGGAAUCUGCCUAUUAGUGGGGGACAACAUCUCGAAAGGGAUGCUAAUACCGCAUACGUCCUACGGGAGAAAGCAGGGGAUCACUUGUGACCUUGCGCUAAUAGAUGAGCCUAAGUCGGAUUAGCUAGUUGGGGGGGUAAAGGCCUACCAAGGCGACGAUCUGUAGCGGGUCUGAGAGGAUGAGCCGCCACACUGGGACUGAGACACGGCCAAGAGUCCUACGGGAGGCAGCAGUGGGGAAUAUUGGACAAUGGGGGGAACCCUGAUCCAGCCAUGCCGCGUGUGUGAAGAAGGCCUUAUGGUUGUAAAGCACUUUAAGCGAGGAGGAGGCUCUUUUGGUUAAUACCCAGAAUGAGUGGACGUUACUCGCAGAAUAAGCACCGGCUAACUCUGUGCCAGCAGCCGCCGUAA
rnacentral:rRNA from 1 species